rnacentral:pre_miRNA from 1 species
GGAUAAUAGUUGGGUGCUGAUCCUCCGGUCCAAUUGGCAAGAUUAACUAGCUUACUGCUGUGCAUUGAAUUGACAGUGAGUUAGUUUUUCUAGCCUACUGGCAUGGAUCAACCUCAUUCC